UACGUAGGGGGCAAGCGUUGUCCGGAAUCAUUGGGCGUAAAGAGCGUGUAGGCGGCCAGAUAAGUCCGCUGUGAAAUCUCGAGGCUCAACUUCGAGCUGUCGGUGGAAACUGUCUGGCUAGAGUCCGGAAGAGGAGAAUGGAAUUCCUGGUGUAGCGGUGAAAUGCGCAGAUAUCGGGAGGAACACCAAUGGCGAAGGCAGCUCGCUGGGACGGUACUGACGCUGAGGCGCGAAAGCGUGGGGAGCAAACAGG
rnacentral:rRNA from 1 species